rnacentral:tRNA from 2 species
CGGGCAGUAGCGCAGCCUGGUAGCGUACCUGAAUGGGGUUCAGGUGGUCGCGGGUUCAAAUCCCGCCUGCCCGACCA